AAGCAGGGUGAAGUGAGGGAAGUGUUUUGGAGGAGAAAGAAGAGUGUUUUGUGGAGAAAGAAGAUUUGCUGUUCAUUGUAUCCUGUUACUUCACAACAACAGAAAAUAAACAGGCCAGAGGCCUUUUGAAACUGGACUUUGUCUUGACCUGGUUUUCUUACCCUAGAGGGCUGUGCGGUUGCCAAAAGAUCCUGGACAAACACACACAGGAA